rnacentral:rRNA from 1 species
GAUGAACGCUGGCGGCGUGCCUAAUACAUGCAAGUCGAGCGAAUGGAUUAAGAGCUUGCUCUUAUGAAGUUAGCGGCGGACGGGUGAGUAACACGUGGGUAACCUGCCCAUAAGACUGGGAUAACUCCGGGAAACCGGGGCUAAUACCGGAUAACAUUUUGAACCGCAUGGUUCGAAAUUGAAAGGCGGCUUCGGCUGUCACUUAUGGAUGGACCCGCGGCGCAUUAGCUAGUUGGUGAGGUAACGGCUCACCAAGGCAACGAUGCGUAGCCGGCCGGAGAGGGUGAUCGGCCACACUGGGACUGAGACACGGCCCAGACUCCUACGGGAGGCAGCAGUAGGGAAUCUUCCGCAAUGGACGAAAGUCUGACGGAGCAACGCCGCGUGAGUGAGGAAGGCUUUCGGGUCGUAAAACUCUGUUGUUAGGGAAGAACAAGUGCUAGUUGAAUAAGCUGGCACCUUGACGGUACCUAACCAGAAAGCCACGGCUAACUACGUGCCAGCCGCCGCCGUAA